UAAUAGGACAAAUAUACACUCACGCGUUAUUGCGUGUACGGUUCAUGGAGAAACUUUUCCCGCCAUUACGCGGACUGUCACUGCUUGACACUUGACGCAGCGAACCCCUCUAAUAUUUAUGUUCACAUCUUUUAUUAAACUAAAUAUAUUUAUACAUUUACUGAGUGGUGUAAACAAAAAUAACCCUUAAAUACUUAAUUCGAUGAUUAUACAUUUACUAUUUAAUAAUUGACAAUGACUGAAUCCUUCAUUUGUAAACGUGCCCUUAGGAAUGUUUGCUUUCUGCUUUUUUAAACAGAGCGCCAUCUCUACAAUGUUCGUGUUCCAUGCUAUUGUAGAGGCGACACUCGACCACGUUUUUCUCAAUAUAUGAUUUUAUCUUAUAAUUUCAAACAUUAAGUGUAUGUUUAAUAUCCUAAUAAUAUAAAAAUAGUACAUAUAGAAAAAGCAACAUAAGAUUUUGAUGAAACGUCUUUUCUGAAAAAGUUUUUCGAGGAAGAUAUUUAAUAAACAAAGAAGAAAAUUGCAUCGCUGAAAGUUCGUGUUCGGUCAUGAGUUAUGCUAUCCAAGGACAUCUGUGUAAGAUACCUCGAGAAAUGAAUUUUAACGAAAGACAGUAAUCUCACGUUACAGAUAACGCGUGCACAACACGGAAUGCGUGAUCACGCUUUCUCCGUGAAUCAGCCACUUGAACACACGAAACGAGAAAUGCAAAAUGUCAACAGAAACGUAAACGCGAAGAUGUCGCGCGAAAAUUCAUCGGAAAUUGUUAAAUAUACCGGCUGGUAUAAAUAGCGGUUGAAAUUUUUUCGCUUUGAUCUGAUCACCGACAAAUAAAUCCGUUCUGACGCAAAACUUGCCGGUUAAUAUUCGAAAUGAAGUACGGAGAUGCAGUAAGAAAGUCACAAAAAUUUCCAUUUCCCUAAUAUGGACAUUAAAAACUAAUUAAGUUAACCUUGCCAUUAGAAGUUAAUUACAUACUUAGGCAAGAACGGAAUUGUGAUAGGAAGUGGACAAUAUUGAUGAGCUCCUCAAAUAAUUAUUUACUUGUUCAAUUAUCAUUUUUAAUUAACCUCUACUAAGAAACAGGUAAUAAUGCAAACAGGAAUAAUUAAUUAUUGUUAUUCUGCUUGUUAAACGAAAAGCAAUUUUCGACACAAAACGUUCAGCCACUUGGUUGGAAUUAUCAGCUAUAACCUUUAAGAAUUGUAAUUUAUGACUUGUAAACGUUUCGUUAGAGAUAAGAGAGUACAUUGUGGCUAUUCUUACAUUUGUGUAAACCUGUUCCAAAAAACUGACUAAUUAACUGUGAAUACAUUUAAUUGCAAUUUAUAAUUAUAUUUGGGCGCAGUGUUUCAAUAUUGUAAAUUAUAAACAAUUUAGUUUAACAAAAACUAAAUUGUUAGUUUACAACUAAUUAGUGUUGCUGUUACUACUUAUCAUUAAUUACUGAUGAGUAAGUAACAAUGAUAAAAUUAGAAACAAAAAGUUUGUACCAAUAAAUUAGUAAUUAACAAUAAUUUUCUAAUUAGUAUUAUUGCUAAUAUUGUUACUGCUAGUACCAUUAAUGACUAGUGACACUAAUUAGUGAAUUACUGUAAACAAACUGCUAAUCCGUUUUCAAUUACUGUCAAUAACUGAUAACAUGAUAACAUUAAUUACUAGUGAAUUAUCAUUCGUCCCGUAUUCGUUAUAAGCACUUAAUUCAUUACCAUUAAUUCUUAAUCAGUUUCUGAAAUUUGUCUAACUUAGCAGAUUAUGGAAAUGCAAACUUUUUUACAGUCUGUACAAAUGGCAAAAAAUAUAUGCAAGUUUUGCAUAAAAGAUCAUUCGAUAAACUGUCACAUGAUCUUACGUCUUGAAAAUUGAUCGUACAAACUGAAUUUCCGAAAGAAUAUUAGAAUUAAAAAAUACCGUAUUCAUGGAAGAUUUAAAAUUCAGAUAGGGAAGAAUAGGGUAUGUUUUCCUCAACGCAUAACAAUUAAACCGCAGAUGCGCGCACGUUGCGUGCGCAUCUCGAAGGAAUACCGUGAAAACUGUAUGGCGCUGAAACGUCCUUGCAAUAUCGUGCCGAUAGUAUAAAUAGCUUCGUCUCUGCUGACGAGAAUGAGCGGAAAAAAAGAGAGAGAAGUAGAAAUAAAAAAAACGUCACACGGACGUCGAAAAACAGGCUACAGAAUCGUACAUGGAAUAACGUGUACCAAUUACCGAUGGCUGCAAUGUGUUACGUAAUCAGCCACGAUCCACGGGUAAAGGAACGCACCUGUGCAGCCUGUGUUCGAUUCACAUGCUUCUGCAAAGAGCCAUUAUUCUCCGACGAGGUCAAUUUUCUAGAAAUCUUUAACGUUUAACGGACAUUUACGUUUCUCCAUUCCCACUUCCUAACAUGGCCCAGGCAAAAAUGGCGGACACGAGUGUACGAGAUAGAUUCUGCCAGGUUCACAAGGAUGAAUAUUUUACAAUAGACAGACGAACGAGAAUUAUUUAUUUAACGAAAUUAUGCGAUUUGUUUGCAUAAAUUGACGUGUGUAGGAGAACAUGCUGUAUUUAUCAAAAGAAUAGGUUGUUGAGUUAUGACCCAGAAAACGUCUGUUUACAAACGAGACCCAUACGUAUCAUAAAUUUUAGAUAAAUACUCGAUCGUUGCUUAACGUUUCUCACAGCGUCUCUUGACACGCUGUGCGUAGAUUUGAUGGAUAGUGACGCGUACUGAAAUGCUGUCAAUUUUAGAUAACUUAUUAGACAGCGACAUGGAAAGUAGUUUACUUCUAGUAAUUAAAUCAUGGGAUCAAUCAGUUGACCAGAUAAGUUAUCUUGGAUAUCAAAAAGAAGUUACGCCACGUUAUAGCUGUGACCAGAAUUUGUAUUUACGAGACUGAGAUGGGCUUAGAGCGAUUAAGUUAAUCGUGAAGUAGAAAGUUCGUUCUGUAAAAAUGAUCAUUGAAUAUUGAAGCUAUAGACUAUAUAAUAUUUUGAGAAUUAAUAUUUUAGUGGUUUGAAUGGUGACGCAGGAAAAUCGGGCAGGAAGCCAUGAAAGCGUCGGAAGCUAAAGGGUUAAUAUAAUUGUUCACUGCACCGAAUGCGUGCAUAGCAAUCGAGGCAAGUACAGUGCGCGUGACAAGAGCCUUAUGAAUCAUGCUGCCUUCCGACCUCUCUCCAAAGGUUAAUCAGCGUCGAGAAAACGUCUCCAAGUUUCACUUAACGCGUCUUGGAAGCAGAAAUUUCCCCACACUAUUCAGCAAAGUAGUCUAUUACGUCGGAGAACGUUAGCCUCAGAUAGAACAUUGAAACGAUUUGUCAUGGGAUCGAUAAACGUAUCGGACGCGAAAAAGUAUUUAGUUCAACGAGUGAUUACUACGGAGACUAUUCAUAGCCGAGAGGGAUAACAACGAAGCAGUAAGAACGCAAGUCGAUUGAGAGCUCUCGUUUUAGUAGUAGAGAAACUUACUGGACGCACAGAUGAGCUCUAGGGAGAUUAUUAAAAAAUCAGAAUCUAGAAACCUAAGGUCCCAGGUAAUCACUGAAGUCAACUAAGGAAUCAAUGAAGUCCUAGAGUUAUUCUGGAAAAACCUAAGAUUAUCCUAGGGAGAUUUGAAAAAUUCCAAGAGAAGAUUAGAAAAAUUUUCAGAAAAGGAGGAAACAAACUUCAGGAAAUGUUUAAGGAAAAGUUAUGGUUCUUGGAAAAGCUUGAGGAAAUAACCUAGUGAAUCUAGGGAGUUGAGUAAGUGACAGGGAACUGUGAGAGUAUCGAUUCUCACGCGAGAAAAUCGAGUUCCUCGUUCUUCUGAUCGCCGCUUACCAGGUCAUCCUCAAACUCGUCGUCAUCCGUGUCCGAGUCCGAGCAACCUCUCAGCUUUCGAACUUUCUUUUUCACCUCUUUCUUCACCACCCUCGUUAUCGCGUUUUCCGGCUGCGUGCAAUCGUUUCAUGAUUAAAGAAAAAGUCGCCGUGAAACGCUAACGACCUGGACCCAACCGGACACUAGCUUGCUACUAGGAUCUAGCGGUUCAAGAAAUCAGCGACACAUUCGUUUUUAAUUUGUUAACCGGGUAGACAACUAUUUGUCCCAGUUUUAGUUUAGAUACAUUAUGCAUUAACUUUACUGCCAAUGAAAUAUUUUUAGUAUUAGAUUCGACCACUGUUCAUUUUAUGACAAUUGCAAUAAUUCACUUAAAGAAUGUUUUUAUUUAAAAUACAACUUUUUGUCAUAUCAUAAUGCAUCAUAACUAGGUGGUCGAAAAUGCUGUAUCACUUAAUUUUCUUACUAUGUUUCGUAACGCAUAACGUACACGUAACAAAAAGAUGCAACUUUAAUUGCAAGAAAAGAUCUUAGAUUGUUGAGAUUUUAGGUAACGCUGCUUUUUAUAACAAUCAAAAAUGUUACGCGCGAAAAGUGACCUUGAAUCUGUGCAACACGUGAUGCUGCAUUUGCCGCCAUCUUUGAACACUAAAAGAACACCUUAUCUAUUUUAAUAAAAAUAAUUUUUUAAAUUAAAAGAAAAGAUUGAAUAUCAGCGUCAAAUUAUUUGCAAUAUU